UGUAGGCGGGCUAUCGGUACCUUGUGAAAUCCCACGGCUCAACCGUGGAGCUGCUGGGUAUACUGGUUGACUUGAGCCAGGUAGGGGAGAGCGGAACUCACGGUGUAGCGGUGAAAUGCGUAGAUAUCGUCAGGAACGCCGAAGGUGAAAGCAGCUCGCUGGGGCUGCCCUGACGCUGAGACACGAAAGCCUGGGGAGCGAACGGGAUUAGAUACCCUGGUAGUCCUGGCCCUAAACGAUGUCCGCUAGAUGUGGGGACUUUUGACGGAUUCCCGGUCGAAGCCAAAGUGCUAAGUGCACCGCCUGGGAAGUACGGUCGCAAGGCUAAAACUCAAAGGAAUUGACGGGGGCUCACACAAGCGGUGGAGCAUGUGGUUCAAUUCGAAGCAACGCGCAGAACCUUACCUGGGCUUGACAUGCCAGGAUUAUCCCCGUGAACGUGGGGUACGCCCCGCUCGGGGUACAGCUGGGACUGGUGCUGCAUGGCUGUCGUCAUGUCAUGUCGUGAUAUGUCGGGUUACGUCCCUUAACGAUCGACUCCUUUGCCCUUAGUU
rnacentral:rRNA from 1 species